CUCCUCAAUACCUAAACAAUUUUCCUCUCUCUCUCUCUCUCUCUCUCUCUCUCCCCGCUCCCCCCCCCCACCCCCUCCCUCUCAGUCUCUCUCACAACCGCCGGAUAGAAAAGAGUGCCGUGCAAUGAUGACACCGAUGCAGUGGCGUGAGCGACGAUGCUCAUGGAACAGCCUUGCUAGGUCGAUUUGGAUGGUAGCACCGCUGAUGUUGGCGGGGCGAUAUGAAUUUUCGAUUUGGAUACAUUUUUGAGCGAUUCAGUGUGAAUCUUUGGUGAUGGAUCUAGUGUGGGAAGAAGGUUUUGGGAGAUUUACUUAAGUAAAACACUCAAUUAGUGGAUCUGGAGAAAUUUGGGUUUAUUUCUAAUCAACCUCUGUUUUCUUUUCAUCCAGUUUGCUGUAGGUGUUGAAAGUUGGUGGUGCAGUUGCUAUUGUGGUAGUGGUGAUUUCUGUGAGGUAAAUGUUUGUUGGUAAAGAUGGUGGGCGAGUUAUGCUGAGCAGUGAUAGGACGAUCUAUGGUGUAUAUGUGUUGUUCUGUGUGUAUAGAAACGAUUGUUGUGUGGUGGUACAGUUAAAGUGGAGGCGGUGGUGGUGAAGUAGUGUUGGUUUUUGGUGGUGGUGGUAGAGAUGGGUAGCGGUGCUGGUGGUUAUGUGAUGGUCAUAUUUUUUUAUUGUUGUCAGACUGUCUGUGAUCAGAAUUGUGUUAACUGUAACUUGGUUACAGAUAACAAUUCAUUGUUAAGGUCACAAUUCACUAGUCACAAGUUCAGUUGAUAAGUCACUAUCAUUUUGUAUAGAUCACAAAUCAAUAUAAACGAGUUACAGAUUAAUAUUAACAGGUAACAUGUUACGUUUUGUAGAGUCACG
rnacentral:lncRNA from 1 species